rnacentral:rRNA from 1 species
GACGAACCGUGCGAACGUUGUUCGGAUUCACUGGGCUUAAAGGGCGCGUAGGCGGGCAAUCAAGUCAGGGGUGAAAGCCUCCAGCUUAACUGGAGAAGUGCCUCUGAUACUGGUCGUCUUGAGGGAGGUAGGGGCAUGUGGAACUUCCGGUGGAGCGGUGAAAUGCGUAGAUAUCGGAAGGAACGCCGGUGGCGAAAGCGACGUGCUGGACCUCUUCUGACGCUGGGGCGCGAAAGCUAGGGGAGCGAACGGG